UACGGAGGGUGCAAGCGUUAUCCGGAUUCACUGGGUUUAAAGGGUGCGUAGGUGGGUCUGUAAGUCAGUGGUGAAAUCUCCAAGCUUAACUUGGAACUGCCGUUGAUACUAUAGACCUUGAAUGCUGUGGAGGUGAGCGGAAUAUGUCAUGUAGCGGUGAAAUGCUUAGAUAUGACAUAGAACACCAAUUGCGAAGGCAGCUCACUACCCAGAUAUUGACACUGAGGCACGAAAGCGUGGGAUCAAACAGG
rnacentral:rRNA from 1 species